rnacentral:tRNA from 1 species
GAGGGUACAGCUCAGUGGUAGAGUGCAUGCCUAGCAUGCACAAGGUCUUGGGUUCAAUCCCCAGUACUUCCA